rnacentral:tRNA from 2 species
GCCGGAGUAGCUUUAAGGGUAGAGCAAUCGCUUCGUAAGCGAGAGGUUGCGAGUUCGAUUCUCGCCUCCGGCUCCG